CCUGGUGGUCUUAGCGGAGAGCCUGAACCCGAUCCCAUUCCGAACUCGGCCGUUAAACUUUCCCGCGCCAAUGGUACUAAGUCUCAAGACUUGGAAGAGUAGGUCACUGCCAGGC
rfam:Pseudorhodoplanes sinuspersici strain RIPI110, complete genome.